rnacentral:rRNA from 1 species
CUAGCGACUUCAGAGUUUGAUCCUGGCUCAGGAUGAACGCUGGCGGCGUGCUUAACACAUGCAAGUCGAACGAAGCAUUUUAAAUGAGACCUUCGGGUGGAUUUUAAAAUGACUUAGUGGCGGACGGGUGAGUAACGCGUGAGUAACCUGCCUUACACAGGGGGACAACAGUUGGAAACGACUGCUAAUACCGCAUAAGCGCACAGAAUCGCAUGAUACAGUGUGAAAAGAUUUAUCGGUGUAAGAUGGACUCGCGUCUGAUUAGCUAGUUGGUGAGGUAACGGCCCACCAAGGCGACGAUCAGUAGCCGACUUGAGGGAGUGAUCGGCCACAUUGGGACUGAGACACGGCCCAA